CCUACGGGUGGCAGCAGUGGGGAAUAUUGCACAAUGGGGGAAACCCUGAUGCAGCGACGCCGCGUGAGUGAAGAAGGAAUUCGUUAUGUAAAGCUCUAUCAGGAGGGAAGAGAAUUACAGUACAUGUGUAAGAAGAGCCGGGUAAGUACGUGCCAGCAGCCGCGGUAAAACGUAGGGGGCAAGCGUGAUCCGGAUUUACUGGGUGUAAAGGGAGCGUAGACGGCAGUGCAAGUCUGGAGUGAAAGGCGGGGGCUCAACCCCCGGACUGCUCUGGAAACUGUACGGCUGGAGUGCAGGAGAGGUAAGUGGAAGUCCUUGUGUAGCGGUGAAAUGCGUAGAUAUUAGGAGGAACACCAGUGGCGAAGGCGGCUUACUGGACUGUAACUGACGUUGAGGCUCGAAAGCGUGGGGAGCAAACAGGAUUAGAUACCCCUGUAGUC
rnacentral:rRNA from 1 species